UUUAAAAUAACUAUUCAAGUGAGACAUGAAGAGCUCUUUUCCUAUUUUCCUAACAUUUCUAGCUUGGCCCAAGGAGAAGUUUUGCACUGCUUUACACAGUCUUCUUAUUUUCUCUUAUACUUACUCCACUUCAUAGGAUAAGGAGGAAUAAUUUGAUUAGUCAGAUAGUCAUAUUUUAUUAGUAAGUGGUUUCUGUGCCUAAAUGAAUUAGAAUAAAUGUAAAAGUUAAUCCAAAAAUUUGGAAAACAACUAACUUAAAAUUUUUUUUAAUCUAAAUUAACUCUUACUUUCCACCCUCAUUCUUCUAGGAAUCAACAAUUUUGGUGGAGGAUAUAAACAACAAAACUAACACAGCAGAACAAAACUUUGGCAACAUGGAAGUCCAGGUCUUACUGAUUCCUGAGAAAAUCCUGGAAGGUAUUACCCGGGUGACUGAUUUCCACCUUCAGCAAUGGAAAAGUAAGAAGAAUAACAAUGAGUGUGUAAUUCUAAGAUGAUCAGAGAAAAACUUGCCAUCUGGACGUCAUAAGAAAAUAACUAGUUUCUGAGGCCUGCCUGGAGCCCCCUGAACCAACGCCAUCACAGUGGAGUCAAAUCACAUGCACUCACUGCAUCCGAGAGGAAGACACCUCCGGGCUCCUUCUCGUCCAGCUGCUCUUCACUAUGACACUCCUUCAGCCUCCGCUUGAAGAUCAGUAAGAGGAAGCGCUCUGUCUCCCUCCAAAGGCAGAUUAGUCAUAUUCGGACAGCUCUAAUAAUCAUAAUAUUCUUCUUUCAAUCUGAGUUGAAAUCUAACUUUGAUCAACUUGUUCUUAUUCAGCCACUGGAAACUACACUGAGCAUGACGUCUUUACAUUCAAUAUCUAAAAUGUUUGAAGGCAGAAAUUAUAAGUCCAAUUACAACUACUUCAUAAGCAUUUAUGCAACUAUAAGUACUUCACAAAUAUUCUCUAUUUUUUUAAUCAACUAUUCCAUCUAUAUCCCCGUUGUCAGAGCCACUCAUUGAUUUUUCUC